rnacentral:tRNA from 1 species
GACGCUCGUGGGCGCCGGGUACGGGCGCCUCCAUCUGUUGGAUGGUGCGGAUCUGUGGGUGGGUAUUGUUCAACUCGUCGCGGACGUUGCC